AGAGUUUGAUCCUGGCUCAGAUUGAACGCUGGCGGCAUGCUUUACACAUGCAAGUCGAACGGUAGCAUGUUGUUUUUUCGGAAACAAUGAUGACGAGUGGCGAACGGGUGAGUAACGCGUAGGAAUCUGCCCUAAAGCGGGGGACAACCUAGGGAAACUUAGGCUAAUACCGCAUAAUCUCUACGGAGAAAAGCUGGGGACCUUCGGGCCUAGCACUUUAGGAUGAGCCUGCGUCAGAUUAGCUUGUUGGUGGGGUAAAGGCCUACCAAGGCAACGAUCUGUAGCUGGUCUGAGAGGACGAUCAGCCACACUGGGACUGAGAUACGGCCCAGACUCCUACGGGAGGCAGCAGUGGGGAAUAUUGGACAAUGGGCGCAAGCCUGAUCCAGCAAUGCCGCGUGUGUGAAGAAGGCCUUCGGGUUGUAAAGCACUUUCAAUAAGGAAGAAAGACACUAUAGUAAUAUGAUGGUGGGAUGACGUUACUUAUAAAAGAAGCACCGGCUAACUCUGUGCCAGCAGCCGCGGUAAUACAGAGGGUGCGAGCGUUAAUCGGAAUUACUGGGCGUAAAGCGCGCGUAGGCGGAGUAAUAAGUCAGAUGUGAAAUCUUUGGGCUCAACCCAAAAACUGCAUAUGAUACUGUUAGUCUAGAGUAUGGUAGAGGAAGGUGGAAUUUCUGGUGUAGCGGUGAAAUGCGUAGAUAUCAGAAGGAAUAUCAGUGGCGAAGGCGACCUUCUGGGCCAAUACUGACGCUGAGGUGCGAAAGCGUGGGUAGCGAACAGGAUUAGAUACCCUGGUAGUCCACGCCGUAAACGGUGAGAACUAGGCGUCGGGAGUAAUCUCGGUGCCGCAGCUAACGCAAUAAGUUCUCCGCCUGGGGAGUACGGUCGCAAGACUAAAACUCAAAGGAAUUGACGG
rnacentral:rRNA from 1 species